rnacentral:rRNA from 1 species
UAUUUGACGUUAGCGACAGAAGAAGCACCCGGCUAACUCCGUGCCAGCAGCCGCGGUAAUACGGAGGGUGCGAGCGUUAAUCGGGAAUUACUGGGCGUAAAGCGCAUGCAGGUGGUUUGUUAAGUCAGAUGUGAAAGCCCGGGGCUCAACCUCGGAAUUGCAUUUGAAACUGGCAGACUAGAGUACUGUAGAGGGGGGUAGAAUUUCAGGUGUAGCGGUGAAAUGCGUAGAGAUCUGAAGGAAUACCGGUGGCGAAGGCGGCCCCCUGGACAGAUACUGACACUCAGAUGCGAAAGCGUGGGGAGCAAACAGGAUUAGAUACCCUGGUAGUCCACGCCGUAAACGAUGUCUACUUGGAGGUUGUGGCCUUGAGCCGUGGCUUUCGGAGCUAACGCGUUAAGUAGACCGCCUGGGGAGUACGGUCGCAAGAUUAAAACUCAAAUGAAUUGACGGGGGCCCGCACAAGCGGUGGAGCAUGUGGUUUAAUUCGAUGCAACGCGAAGAACCUUACCUACUCUUGACAUCCAGAGAACUUUCCAGAGAUGGAUUGGUGCCUUCGGGAACUCUGAGACAGGUGCUGCAUGGCUGUCGUCAGCUCGUGUUGUGAAAUGUUGGGUUAAGUCCCGCAACGAGCGCAACCCUUAUCCUUGUUUGCCAGCGAGUAAUGUCGGGAACUCCAGGGAGACUGCCGGUGAUAAACCGGAGGAAGGUGGGGACGACGUCAAGUCAUCAUGGCCCUUACGAGUAGGGCUACACACGUGCUACAAUGGCGCAUACAGAGGGCAGCCAACUUGCGAAAGUGAGCGAAUCCCAAAAAGUGCGUCGUAGUCCGGAUUGGAGUCUGCAACUCGACUCCAUGAAGUCGGAAUCGCUAGUAAUCGUGGAUCAGAAUGCCACGGUGAAUACGUUCCCGGGCCUUGUACACACCGCCCGUCACACCAUGGGAGUGGGCUGCAAAAGAAGUAGGUAGUUAACGCGGGGGACGCUACCACCUUUGGUGGA